UCCGACCUCAGAUCGGACGAGGUUACCCGCUGAAUUUAAGCAUAUAAAUAAGCGGAGGAAAAGAAACUAACAAGGAUUCCCU
rnacentral:rRNA from 1 species